GUUGGUGUGUAGGAAAAAUGAUGUUGGGGGGUUUGCAUAGAAGAAGGUGCAUGUGAGAAUGUGUCAGCGUUCAACGAGAAAGGACUAGGGGAAAGAGAGAAGGAGUAAGAGAGGCGAGUGAGGUUUUAACGACGGCGGCCUAUCGACAGCAGUCGAACGAAGGAACUAAGCCACGGUAGUCGAACGAGCAGGAGUGGACGCCGGUGGGGCCGUCGAGCUAAACGAUCACGCCGGUAUCCUACUUGAAGUUGCCGCCGACCAAACAGAGGUGCAUGCGGAGGAGCCAGAUCCGACCAUUUGUCGCUACCUCCCCAUCGUCCCGGGUUCCACCUCGACGCGUUCCCUCAUCCGAUCUAGUAGGUAGACGUGCCACAACAACGAGAGCUGCAGGCACGUCCACUACACCCGUACCUAAAGCGGAGAGCGUCGGUCGAAACUAGGUAGAAAUCAUACUCCUACCACCUCUGCAAAAGACGGGGAUCUCGCGGUCGCUUUGCGUAGGAGGUGUAGCCGCUGUAAGAAGCUUCAAGCUUCCAGGGGAAAAGGGAAAAGGACUGACAGUAUAUAAAUAAAAAAAGUAUUGGUACAGGAAACAAAGACGCUAAGUUAUAUUUCAUUAAUUCCUUUACUGACAAAUCACUUUUUACAAAGAAGUGAAAAGGAAUUUUAGAACUUUUUCGUACACUAAAAAAUUCCCGAGGUAUCCACAACUUACUCCAUCUAUUAUUAAUCACUCACUUUAACCUUUCUUACAUUUGUAUACAGGUGCGUCUGUACUAUUGAUUUAACCUCCACGAAAACGGUGGCUGUACGUACAUCCCCUACGCGAUCGAAGAUAGGACGCGCUCACACUCCAACCACCCCUGUUACAACGGGGGUUCAAGGAUGAGCCUGUGCAGCAGUGACAGGUUUUCGCUCCGUCCGGUUUUUAAACAGAAACAACAGCUGUCUCCGUUGGACCGAACCAGUAACUUAUAAAAGUGGGUGUACAGGAGGAAGGAGAAUAGGAAAAAAACAGAAACAUACUAACUUGAUUAUAUUAAUUUAUUCCAUAACGAAAAGUCACUGAUUGCAAGGACAAAUACAAAAAAUAUGGUAGUAGAUAUGACCAACGGGAACUAAAAGAAAGCUAACUGAAUACCAUUUCCAUGAUUUACUACUAUCAUUCAAUACUUACGUUUUAUGUCUCAUGUCGCAUCACAAUUAUACAAAUACGGGGGAGGUGAAAAAAAGGCCCGAACCCUGCUAUAACCGUCACAGUCCGGGGAGAUGGGGAUAAUUAUAAGUCGUUUGAAUUCUUUAUUAAUCAUAUAAGUACCAAUCGAUAUUAAAUUUAUAAAAGCUUUCUGUUUAAUUCUAAAUUUUCAUUUAAACUUUUAUCCAGACUAGCACAACAUGUAUAUUUUACAUUGUUGACACGUAUACAAUUAAGUGACCGAAGAAGUGUGUAGGUAGGUCACACAUUUAAACCGCUAAGGAUGAGAAAGAAAGGAACGUUAGAAACAAUUUAGACAUCUUAGACUUUUCUACUGAACGACGAGUAAAAGGUUCACCUUUCCGUUAGAAAACUGCAUCCCUAGAGACUUCACGUGAAGUUUAACUUGAUAAAAGGUUGUUAAUCGUGACACCGAACCAGUAGUGGAAAUAAAUACAUAAUUUUUUCCAUAAAAUAACUAUCCCUAGACAACGUGUGGAGAUGUAAAUAUACACGAACUAUAAACUGGUCAUCUAUAGACAACUUACGCUGAUGUCGUCUUAACUACACGUUCCGUAUACGUUGUAUUACAACGAAGGACACGUAGUAAUCACCAUUUCAAAUCUUGGUUUCCCUACUAUUGUGUGUAUUCCAUUUUGAACACUUCUAAAAAAAUGAACUUCAACUAGUUUCCAACAGGAAAAACACACCAACACAUAACACCCCGUAGGGUAAUACUAGCUUCUGACAAAUAAAUAGAAAAGAACGUCAAAGUAAGAUGAAAGGUUAGAACGACAAAACAACUAACAGACCUAAAUGUAGUUAUUCUAUUAUCAAAAUUUAUAGCAAAAGAACAGGUUCGAUUUUAGUUAAUCCUUGGAGAACACGGAUUGACCUUAACAACAGAAAAAUCAACAUUGUAAGAACACUAUGGUGUAUAUUUUCUUAGUGCUAAUCAUUGCCUAGUGGAACAACCUAACGUAUAAACUAAACAAAAUUGGUGGAAAAUGUACAAAGAGCUUAAGGAACGAUACGCCGGGUGGUAAAGAACAGUAACAAAUAAGGACGUGUUAUCUCUUACGUUUCUAUUUCAAGUUCUCCUACUAUAAUAUUAUAAUAAUGUCUGUCACCAUCUGGACUUAAACACAAAAAAAACCCGCUACCUACUGAUGUUUCUAGUUACCGCUACGUGGACGACCAGAAACCUGUCCCCUCAUGGACCCGACCGGUUGGGACGAGCAGGGUUACCAACCAGGUGGUGUCCAACGUCUAAUUACGAGUUCAAACACUUCUAAGUAAUAAAAAUAAUGAAAAGCGGAAUGAAAAGAGUAAUAAAAAUACGGUAGACAUGAACUAAUUACUCCAUGAAAUAAUCUGUAUUAAUGACUCCAUGAGUUAGGUUUAUAAUACACUUGGUAAUAGACUAGAUGUUUGACAUUCAUCUAUGGUAUGACGUAAUGAGAAUGGGAAACGAAGAAUUAUCUGAAGUUUGGAUACCUCCGGUAAGGUGUUAGGGUCUAAUAUCAUCUCCUCGUGCGAUAUUGAGACACUCUACCAUGAAUGAUUUCUACCAGACUAGAGAACUACCUCGUCUAAUGCUAACUCCCCGAACACUGACUACGUCCUUCUGUUACGACUUCGCGUUGAACAACCUCCUUCAACUGUAGCUUCACAACAAACGAUCUCCUUCUACUACAUUAUUCCCAUGAGAAGACUUUAGAUUUCCUGUUACUUAAAAACUCUACCAGCUUGGUAACGGACCCCUUCCAUAAAAUCCCUACCGACUCAACUGGUGAGAACGAGCUACCUUUCUCUACAAUGAACCUACGUCUCUCUAAAAUAUAUACAUGCACUUGCACUCUAAAACAAAGACGAACCUCUCUAACAUAGAGACAUGUUAUAACCAUCUCAAACCAAUACAAACCUCUCUAACAUAGAAACGUAUCCUAACACUCUCAAAUCAGUAACGUAGGACAUUUACUAGCAAACUGAAAAAGACCCUGGUACUCUCAUAUAAAAAAAUUUGCACAUUACUAGUCGAAAAAAAAUACCGGUACAUAAAACUCAUGUAAAAAUUGUACACUACUGGGU
rnacentral:rRNA from 1 species